rnacentral:rRNA from 1 species
GACGAACGCUGGCGGCGUGCUUAACACAUGCAAGUCGAACGGAAAGGCCCUGCUUUCGUGGGGUGCCCGAGUGGCGAACGGGUGCGUAACACGUGAGUAACCUGCCCUUGACUUUGGGAUAAGUUCAGGAAACUGGGGUUAAUACCGGAUAGGAGCCCCUGCUGCAUGGUGGGGGUUGGAAAGUCUCGGCGGUUGGGGAUGGACUCGCGGCUUAUCAGCUUGUUGGUGGGGUAGUGGCUUACCAAGGCUUUGACGGGUAGCCGGCUUGUGAGGGUGACCGGCCUCAUUGGGACUGAGGUACGGCCCAGACUCCUACGGGAGGCAGCAGUGGGGAAUAUUGCACAAUGGGCGGAAGCGUGAUGCAGCAACGCCGCGUGCGGGAUGACGGCCUUCGGGUUGUAAACCGCUUUCGCCUGUGACGAAGCGUGAGUGACGGUAAUGGGUAAAGAAGCACCGGCUAACUACGUG